AAUCAACGCUGGCGGCGUGCCUAACACAUGCAAGUCGCACGAGAAAGGGACUUCGGUCCUGAGUACAGUGGCGCACGGGUGAGUAACACGUGAAUAAUCUACCUUCGAGUGGGGAAUAACUGAGAGAAAUCUUAGCUAAUACCGCAUAAUACCUACGGGUCAAAGCAGCAAUGCGCUUGAAGAGGAGUUCGCGGCAGAUUAGUUAGUUGGCAGGGUAAUGGCCACCAAGACGAUGAUCUGUAUCCGGCCUGAGAGGGCGCACGGACACACUGGAACUGAAACACGGUCCAGACUCCUACGGGAGGCAGCAGUGGGGAAUUUUGCGCAAUGGGGGAAACCCUGACGCAGCAACGCCGCGUGGAGGAUGAAAUCCCUUGGGA
rnacentral:rRNA from 1 species